CUGACCUCGGAUCAGGUAGGAGUACCCGCUGAACUUAA
rnacentral:rRNA from 1 species